rnacentral:rRNA from 1 species
CAUGCCUACGGGACGCAGCAGUGGGGAAUAUUGCACAAUGGGGGAAACCCUGAUGCAGCGACGCCGCGUGAGUGAAGAAGUAUUUCGGUAUGUAAAGCUCUCUCAGCAGGAACGAGACAAGACGGUACCUGACUAAGAAGCCCCGGCUAACUACGUGCCAGCAGCCGCGGUAAUACGUAGGGGGCAAGCGUUAUCCGGAAUCACUGGGUGUAAAGGGAGCGUAGACGGCUGUGCAAGCCCGAAGUGAAAGGCGGGGGCCCAACCCCUGGACUGCUUUGGGAACUGUACGGCUGGAGUGCAGGAGG